GCAGCUCAGGCAUAAAAGGUUUUCCAGCCUAUCAGCAACGUGAUGUCGUAUGUGAUGAUCCUUUCCAGCCAUGUUAAUAGAUGUUCUUAUUGUUUACUUCCACACGAUAGCUUAGUUCUUUCGUACAAAAUAUGAGUGGCGCGCAGCAGAAAAUUAGUAAUGUGUGCUCAUAAAAACCAGAAUGAGAAAGGUCACUGCUAUAUCUUAACUGGGCUAUACAUUAUUAGGUUAAUCAUGGAAAACGAGACAACACUUUUGGUGCCGUUUGGUAAACUUUUAUUUUUCUUAUUUCAGAUAUAAAACUAAAAAUUUUAUUUCUCUUAUUUUUAAAUUUUU
rnacentral:lncRNA from 1 species